AAAAAGACAAACCCUGGUUUCCGUGCCUAACGUUUGACCGUCCGUCUUAUUUAAAAAAAUUAUGAAAAAAAAUUAAAAAUACAAGUCACGCAUAAAAUAUUAAUCAUAUUUUAUCAUCUAACAACAAUAAAAAUACGAAUUAUAAGAAAAUUCAUAUAAGACGGACAGUCAAAGUUGGACACGGAAACCCAGGGUUUGCCUUUUU
rnacentral:pre_miRNA from 1 species